rnacentral:rRNA from 4 species
CCAACAGGGAUUGCCUCAGUAACGGCGAGUGAAGCGGCAACAGCUCAAAUUUGAAAGCUGGCUCUUUCAGGGUCCGCGUUGUAAUUUGUAGAGGAUGCUUCGGGUGCGGCGCUGGUCUAAGUUCUUUGGAACAAGACGUCAUAGAGGGUGAGAAUCCCGUAUGUGACUAGCUGCCUGUGCCUGUGUGAAGCUCCUUCGACGAGUCGAGUUGUUUGGGAAUGCAGCUCAAAAUGGGUGGUGUACUUCAUCUAAAGCUAAAUAUUGGCCAGAGACCGAUAGCGCACAAGUAGAGUGAUCGAAAGAUGAAAAGCACUUUGGAAAGAGAGUUAAACAGUACGUGAAAUUGUUGAAAGGGAAGCGCUUGCAAUCAGACUUGCGCGGCGUCGAUCAGCCUGGGUUCUCCCUGGUGCACUCGGCGCUGCUCAGGCCAGCAUCAGUUUCAGCGGUUGGAUAAAGGCCUAGGGAACGUGGGUUACUUCGGUGACUGUUAUAGCCCUAGGUGCAAUGCAGCCUGCUGGGACUGAGGACCGCGCUUCGGCUAGGAUGCUGGCGUAAUGGUUGUAAGCGACCCGUCUUGAAACACGGACCAAGGAGUCUAACAUCUAUGCGAGUUUUUGGGUGUCAAACCCAUAAGCGUAAUGAAAGUGAACGGAGGUGAGAACCCUUAAGGGUGCAUCAUCGACCGAUCCUGAUGUCUUCGGAUGGAUUUGAGUAAGAGCAUAGCUGUUGGGACCCGAAAGAUGGUGAUCUAUACUUGAAUAGGGUGAAGCCAGAGGAAACUCUGGUGGAGGCUCGCAGCGGUUCUGACGUGCAAAUCGAUCGUCAAAUUUGGGUAUAGGGGCGAAAGACUAAUCGAA